rnacentral:rRNA from 1 species
CAGCAGCCGCGGGAAUACGGAGGGUGCAAGCGUUAAACGGAAUUACUGGGCGUAAAGCGCACGCAGGCGGUCUGACAAGUCAGAUGUGAAAUCCCCGGGCUUAACCUGGGAACUGCAUUUGAAACUGUCAGGCUGGAGUCUUGUAGAGGGGGGUAGAAUUCCAGGUGUAGCGGUGAAAUGCGUAGAGAUCUGGAGGAAUACCGGUGGCGAAGGCGGCCCCCUGGACAAAGACUGACGCUCAGGUGCGAAAGCGUGGGGAGCAAACAGGAUUAGAUACCCGAGUAGUCCCUGUCUCUUAUAC